UGGGGAAUUUUGCACAAUGGGGGAAACCCUGAUGCAGCGACGCCGCGUGAUUUAGAAGGCCUUCGGGUUGUAAAAAUCUUUUCUAUGGGAAGAAAAUGACAGUACCAUAGGAAUAAGGACCGGCUAAUUACGUGCCAGCAGCCGCGGUAAUACGUAAGGUCCGAGCGUUGUCCGGAAUCAUUGGGCGUAAAGGGUACGUAGGCGGGUAAGCAAGUUAGAAGUGAAAUCCUGUAGCUCAACUAGAGUAAGCUUUUAAAACUGCUCAUCUUGAGAUAUGGAAGGGAAAGUGGAAUUCCUAGUGUAGCGGUGAAAUGCGCAGAUAUUAGGAGGAAUACCGGUGGCGAAGGCGACUUUCUGGCCAUAAUCUGACGCUGAGGUACGAAAGCGUGGGUAGCAAACAGG
rnacentral:rRNA from 1 species